rnacentral:rRNA from 1 species
AUACGGAGGGUGCAAGCGUUGUCCGGAUUUAUUGGGUUUAAAGGGUGUGUAGGCGGUGUAUUAAGUCAGUGGUGAAAGCCUGCGGCUCAACCGUAGAACUGCCAUUGAUACUGACACACUUGAGUUUGGUUGAGGUAGGCGGAAUUUAUGGUGUAGCGGUGAAAUGCAUAGAUACCAUAAAGAACACCGAUAGCGAAGGCAGCUUACUAAGCCGAAACUGACGCUGAGGCACGAAAGCGUGGGGAGCGAACAGGAUUAGAUACCCCAGUAGUCC